CCAGCUGUGUAUGAUACAGGUGUUGGUGUUAGGUGAUCAUUUGGAGCAGGUGGGUGACUAACUAAUAUUGCAUAGACCUGGGGAGAUGAGAUCCUCGCAGACGGACAGGGCCAUCUGGAUCGCGCGUUGGGCUGGCUUGUGAGCGUGACCGAGGUGGCGUUCAGCGGAUCUUCGAUCGUGCCGUGGCGCUUGUUGGCCUGCUCACGCCCUGCGGAAGAUCUGCUCGCUAUUGCUUAUCCUGUGCUCAGCACCGCGCGAUGUUGCACGAUCUUGCGGCUCGCAGCCGGCGCCGCGAAGGAGAGGGGAGCAGAGCCACGCGCGGCCAGCAGGCGACAUGGGUGCUUUCAUGGGCCGCGGGACUCCGGCUCGCCCCUGCCCGGUCCCGCUCA